rnacentral:tRNA from 1 species
GCAUUGGUGGUUCAGUGGUAGAAUUCUCGCCUGCCACGCGGGAGCCCCGGGUUCGAUUCCUGGCCAAUGCA